rnacentral:tRNA from 1 species
GUUAAGGUGGCAGAGCCCGGUUACUGCAAAAGACCUAAGCCCUUUCUACGGAGGUUCAAGUCCUCCCCUCAACU